rnacentral:lncRNA from 1 species
GGGAGACAGAUGCAAGUGCAGCCAAAAUUGUAGCUUGUCCACUUAAGGAAUCAAGCUCAACCUUGAGAUUGUUUCCCUGUAUACCAUUUUCAGAAAACAAUAUAUAUAAACAAGUGAAGUAACUGAAUUUCAAAUUCCUUUUAAAAGAAAACUAGGUCUUUGAAAAGAAUCAAGAGUUUGCUGCUUCUAUUAAUAAAUCUAACAGUUUGGGCAUGCAGGGGCAUAAUGGGAAAAGUAGUGUGAUUCCGAGUGGAAAAGAGGAAAGAGAGGAAAAGGGCAUGGGUAGCAUGGAUAUACAAAAGCAGAUUAUUGCUGGUAAUUCUAGGAAUCGAUUUGAUGUAUUAAGUGAUAUUACUAAUGAGUUGNGUGCGGGCCCACCCCAAAAGGGCACCAGCAGCAGCAGGGUAACACUUGUAUUGUGCCUCUUGCACCAAGUUCAUACCCGGCUCCACAAUGUUUGAGCUGGAAGAAUCCAUUGAUUCACAUUCAUCCUCAUCUUCUUCUUCUUCUUCUUCUCCUCCUCCUUCUUCUUCUUCUUAUUCUUCUUCUUCUUCCACUUAUUCUUUUUCCUCCAUUGUAGGAACACACAUUUUAGAUUGCGUCUCUCCAUCAUGGGAUUGGGAACCCAUCAUAUUCAUACCAACAUCAAGAGGCUGCACAAAUUCAAUAAACCAUAUUACAUCAAUGCAUUAUACAUGUAAAUAAUCUAAAUAUAUAUUGUAUAAGAUACAUACAUCAUUCAACACCAGAGAAUGGAAGAGAAAACAUCAUUUUUUUUCAAAUCCCAUGAUAACUUUAUUUAAGUCCAUGACAAUAAAAGAUCCAAAAGGCUUAUAUUUAUAUUUAUAUAACAUCACUAUGCUGAAAACUCUUUGAACUGCACAAGGAAAUCCCGUAUGUGGUUCUUAAAUGUAUAAAGGUCGGAUCUUGACUCAAAUAGUCCAUUCACAAAUUUCGCAACCUGGGAGAAUUACAUUACAUCCCUCCAUCAGAUAUCUAAAUAUAACAUAAGUAAACAAACAUCACUUGCAAUUGUAGUUUUUAUCAUACUCCUGUACUAAAUUACCAAGCAUUUCACUCAUAGAUUAAACCAACUGCAUUCCAUCUCACCUGUAUUCCCCCCAAAAAUGAAAAAGAACCACGUGCAUGCCUACGCUUGCUGUUUGAAGGAGGACUCUUUUUCCCACUUCUGGAAGUCAACAUAGAUUAAACAGCUCCAGAAAUGAUGGAACCAAACCUAAGUGUCAUCAACAUCAGUAUUCAUUCAUUCAACUGAUGAUAGAUAGAUAGAUAGUCUUGGAAGAAAAAAAAACAAAUAAAAAGUUAAAAACCAAUGUCUAUUACCACAAAGAUGAGAGAAGUAACCAUCCUGCUUCUUUUUCAAUCGUAGCAAACACAGUGUUUCAGCUAGCUUCUGAUAGCAUUUUUCUAGCUACAUCAAGCAUUGUUCUGGGAAAUCUUUACCAAAAUAAAUAAAAAGUUUAAAACCACUGUCUAUUACCACUUCAACAUCAUAAUUAUGAAGAAAGUUCAAACUGUUACCUGGCUGGAUAACCAAGAGGCAGCUUUGGGGAGACAGAUGCAAGUGCAGCCAAAAUUGUAGCUUGUCCACUUAAGGAAUCAAGCUCAACCUUGAGAUUGUUUCCCUGUAUACCAUUUUCAGAAAACAAUAUAUAUAAACAAGUGAAGUAACUAAAUUUCAAAUUCCUUUUAAAAGAAAACUAGGUCUUUGAAAAGAAUCAAGAGUUUGCUGCUUCUAUUAAUAAAUCUAACAGUUUGGGCAUGCA